CGCGGAAGGACCAUACUGGUUUCCGUUGUAUUGAUGGGUGGAAGGACCCAUCAUUUGACCUGGUUGCUGCCCCACAACAGGCGGUUGAGAAUUCACCAUGGGAGGAUUAUUAGGAAUUGUAUAGUCUCGACUUCGGUCAUUGUUCACCUUGAUACUCAAAUCAGUAUGGCGUGAAUAUGAGAUGUGAAGCUUGCAAAACCCUCCAUCAUAAAUACAGUGUCCCUCCAGGGCUUCCUUGGCAACUACCGCAGUCUGAACAUCUGGAUACUGAAUCAAGGCCUGGACUCCCCCAUUCUUAUCAAACAUGGCAAUCUUUUGGACAGGUCCAAAUGCAGAAAAAACCAUGUGCAAAACCUCCAAGGUGACUGCAUACUGCAUAUUCUCAAUGGAGGCAAGAAGAACAUUACUUUCUGGUUCAAG
rnacentral:misc_RNA from 1 species